rnacentral:rRNA from 1 species
UUUAUGGAGAGUUUGAUCCUGGCUCAGAGUGAACGCUGGCGGCGUGCCUAAUACAUGCAAGUCGAACGAUGAAGCUUUUAGCUUGCUAGAAGUGGAUUAGUGGCGCACGGGUGAGUAAGGUAUAGUUAAUCUGCCCUACACAAGAGGACAACAGUUGGAAACGACUGCUAAUACUCUAUACUCCUGCUUAACACAAGUUGAGUAGGGA